UUAAAAUGAGAGUUUGAUCCUGGCUCAGGACGAACGCUGGCGGCGUGCCUAAUACAUGCAAGUCGAGCGAGCGGAACUAACAGAUUUACUUCGGUAAUGACGUUAGGAAAGCGAGCGGCGGAUGGGUGAGUAACACGUGGGGAACCUGCCCCAUAGUCUGGGAUACCACUUGGAAACAGGUGCUAAUACCGGAUAAGAAAGCAGAUCGCAUGAUCAGCUUUUAAAAGGCGGCGUAAGCUGUCGCUAUGGGAUGGCCCCGCGGUGCAUUAGCUAGUUGGUAAGGUAAAGGCUUACCAAGGCGAUGAUGCAUAGCCGAGUUGAGAGACUGAUCGGCCACAUUGGGACUGAGACACGGCCCAAACUCCUACGGGAGGCAGCAGUAGGGAAUCUUCCACAAUGGACGCAAGUCUGAUGGAGCAACGCCGCGUGAGUGAAGAAGGUUUUCGGAUCGUAAAGCUCUGUUGUUGGUGAAGAAGGACAGAGGUAGUAACUGGCCUUUAUUUGACGGUAAUCAACCAGAAAGUCACGGCUAACUACGUGCCAGCAGCCGCGGUAAUACGUAGGUGGCAAGCGUUGUCCGGAUUUAUUGGGCGUAAAGCGAGCGCAGGCGGAAGAAUAAGUCUGAUGUGAAAGCCCUCGGCUUAACCGAGGAACUGCAUCGGAAACUGUUUUUCUUGAGUGCAGAAGAGGAGAGUGGAACUCCAUGUGUAGCGGUGGAAUGCGUAGAUAUAUGGAAGAACACCAGUGGCGAAGGCGGCUCUCUGGUCUGCAACUGACGCUGAGGCUCGAAAGCAUGGGUAGCGAACAGGAUUAGAUACCCUGGUAGUCCAUGCCGUAAACGAUGAGUGCUAAGUGUUGGGAGGUUUCCGCCUCUCAGUGCUGCAGCUAACGCAUUAAGCACUCCGCCUGGGGAGUACGACCGCAAGGUUGAAACUCAAAGGAAUUGACGGGGGCCCGCACAAGCGGUGGAGCAUGUGGUUUAAUUCGAAGCAACGCGAAGAACCUUACCAGGUCUUGACAUCUAGUGCCAUUUGUAGAGAUACAAAGUUCCCUUCGGGGACGCUAAGACAGGUGGUGCAUGGCUGUCGUCAGCUCGUGUCGUGAGAUGUUGGGUUAAGUCCCGCAACGAGCGCAACCCUUGUUAUUAGUUGCCAGCAUUAAGUUGGGCACUCUAAUGAGACUGCCGGUGACAAACCGGAGGAAGGUGGGGAUGACGUCAAGUCAUCAUGCCCCUUAUGACCUGGGCUACACACGUGCUACAAUGGGCAGUACAACGAGAAGCGAGCCUGCGAAGGCAAGCGAAUCUCUGAAAGCUGUUCUCAGUUCGGACUGCAGUCUGCAACUCGACUGCACGAAGCUGGAAUCGCUAGUAAUCGCGGAUCAGCACGCCGCGGUGAAUACGUUCCCGGGCCUUGUACACACCGCCCGUCACACCAUGGGAGUCUGCAAUGCCCAAAGCCGGUGGCCUAACCUUCGGGAAGGAGCCGUCUAAGGCAGGGCAGAUGACUGGGGUGAAGUCGUAACAAGGUAGCCGUAGGAGAACCUGCGGCUGGAUCACCUCCUUUCUAAGGAA
rnacentral:rRNA from 1 species